rnacentral:tRNA from 2 species
AUAAAGGUAAGCUAAAGAAAGCUAGCGGGUUCAUACCCCGUUUAUGGACAAAAAAAUUCCCCUUUUUA